AGUGAACGCUGGCGGUAGGCCUAACACAUGCAAGUCGAACGGCAGCACAGUAAGAGCUUGCUCUUACGGGUGGCGAGUGGCGGACGGGUGAGGAAUACAUCGGAAUCUACUUUUUCGUGGGGGAUAACGUAGGGAAACUUACGCUAAUACCGCAUACGACCUACGGGUGAAAGCAGGGGAUCUUCGGACCUUGCGCGAUUGAAUGAGCCGAUGUCGGAUUAGCUAGUUGGCGGGGUAAAGGCCCACCAAGGCGACGAUCCGUAGCUGGUCUGAGAGGAUGAUCAGCCACACUGGAACUGAGACACGGUCCAGACUCCUACGAGAGGCAGCAGUGGGGAAUAUUGGACAAUGGGCGCAAGCCUGAUCCAACCAUACCGCGUGGGUGAAGAAGGCCUUCGGGUUGUAAAGCCCUUUUGUUGGGAAAGAAAAGCAGCAGGUUAAUACCCCGCUGUUCUGACGGUACCCAAAGAAUAAGCACCGGCUAACUUCGUG
rnacentral:rRNA from 1 species